ensembl:rRNA RNA5SP150 RNA, 5S ribosomal pseudogene 150
GUCUACGGCCAUACCACCCUGAACGCGCCCGAUCUCGUCUGAUCUCGGAAGCUAAGCAGUGUCGGGCCUGGUUAGCACUUGCAUGGGAGACCGCCUGGGAAUACCGGGUGCUGUAGGGU